UUCUUGGAUUUUUGAAGACUAACUACUGCGAAAGCAUUUGCCAAGGGAUGUUUUCAUUAAUCAAGAACGAAAGUUAGGGGAUCGAAGACGAUCAGAUACCGUCGUAGUCUUAACCAUAAACUAUGCCGACUAGGGAUCGGAUGAUGUUAAUUUUUUAAUGACUCA
rnacentral:rRNA from 1 species